AUUGAACGCUGGCGGCAGGCUUAACACAUGCAAGUCGAACGAGUGGCGGACGGGUGAGUAAUGCUUUGGAAUCUGGCUUAUGGAGGGGGAUAACGACGGGAAACUGUCGCUAAUACCGCGUACCAUAGGAUGAGCCCCAGUGGGAUUAGGUAGUUGGUGGGGUAAUGGCCUACCAAGCCGCCGAUCGCUAGCUGGUUUGAGAGGAUGACCAGCCACACCGGUACGGAGACACGGCCCGGACUCCUACGGGAGGAAGCAGUGGGGAAUAUGGCGCAAUGGGGGCAACCUGACGCAGCCAUGCCGCGUGAAUGAAGAAGGCCUGCGGGUUGUAAAGGUCUUGCGGUGACGAGGCGUUAAUCACAGAAGAAGCACCGGCUAACUCCGUGCCAGCAGCCGCGGUAAUUC
rnacentral:rRNA from 1 species